ensembl:lncRNA
GCUCCUCAGGUAGACUUUGAGGUUUCGAAACAAACGGUGUAAAAUCUCUGGGUUUCUUUUCAGCCACAGCAUAUAUUUAUAUAUUUAAUGUUACAUCUGUUUUAAACAAUAGCUGUGUAGUUGAGGUAAACACAGCUGACAGCGAACGAAUUUUGCGGUUGUGAGGAUUAGCUAGCAUUUGCUAGAUGUCUUCUGGAUAGCGGGAAUAGCCAUAGUUUUCUUGUGAAAAUAGUUUAACAUAACAAGCUGUCAAAUAACUGAAUGUAAACGGUCGCUGAAUAAAGUUUGAAGUUUUCUCCAGUUAAAAUGGCGGACGAAGAUGUUAUGGAUAGUUUGGAUAACCUUUUAAUACAGUUAGCUCUGCAGACUCGAGAAUUAUCUGUUAAAAAAGAUGAUCUACAACGGCAUGUUCAAGAAUGCAAAGCUAAUAUUCAACAGAAGAAGACCCACAUCGAAGAGAGCAAGAAGAAUAUUGACAAACUUGACGAGCAGAUUACACAGAAACAGAAGACAGUUCAGCAUUACAAAGAGAACACUAAGGGCCUGAAAAGGACUCAUGGCUUGUUACUGCAGUAUGAAAAAGUCCUGGAGAGCGAACUGGAGCGCAGACAAGAGAACUGCAAUCGGGA